rnacentral:rRNA from 1 species
CGGUAAAGCUUUUGCGGUUUGGGAUGGGCCUGCGUCCUAUCAGGUAGUUGGUGAGGUAAGUGCUCACCAAGCCUAUGACGGGUAGCUGGUCUGAGAGGAUGGUCAGCCAGACUGGGACUGCGACACGGCCCAGACUCCUACGGGAGGCAGGCGACUAGGAAUUGUGCGCAAUGGACGAAAGUCUGACGCCGCGACAUCGCGUGGAGGAUGAAGGUCUUCGGAUUGUAAACUCCUUUUCUUACCGAACAAGUUCUGAGUGUAGGUAAGGAAUAAGUGCCUGCUGACCACGUGCCAGAAGCAUCGGUAAUACGUGGGGCACGAGCGUUAUCCGGAUUUACUGGGCGUAAAGAGAAGCGUAGGCGGCUCGAUAAGUUUGGUGUUAAAUCUUCCGGCUCAACCGGAAACAAGCACCGAAAACUAUCGAGAUUGAGUCGAGUAGGGAAGAGGGGAAUUCCUGGUGGAGCGGUUAAAUGCGUAGAUAUCAGGAGGAAUACCAAGGGCGAAGGCACCUCUUUGGACUCGUACUGACGCUGAGGCUCGAAAGCGUGGGUAGC